CCUACGGGAGGCAGCAGUGGGGAAUAUUGGACAAUGGGCGGAAGCCUGAUCCAGCAACGCCGCGUGAGGGAUGACUGCCUUCGGGUUGUAAACCUCUUUCAGCACAGACGAAGCGAAAGUGACGGUAUGUGCAGAAGAAGCACCGGCCAACUACGUGCCAGCAGCCGCGGUAAUACGUAGGGUGCGAGCGUUGUCCGGAAUUAUUGGGCGUAAAGGGCUCGUAGGCGGUUUGUCGCGUCGGGAGUGAAAACACACAGCUUAACUGUGUGCUUGCUUCCGAUACGGGCAGACUAGAGGUAUGCAGGGGAGAACGGAAUUCCUGGUGUAGCGGUGAAAUGCGCAGAUAUCAGGAGGAACACCGGUGGCGAAGGCGGUUCUCUGGGCAUUACCUGACGCUGAGGAGCGAAAGUGUGGGGAGCGAACAGGAUUAGAUACCCUGGUAGUCCACACCGUAAACGUUGGGCGCUAGGUGUGGGGCCUAUUCCAUGGGUUCCGUGCCGCNGCUACGCAUAGCGCCCGCCGUCGGGAGGUACGGCCGCGACGGACGUAAACGUAACGUAAAGUAAGUUAGACGGUCGUUGAGACGNGCCGACGGCGACGACGAGGGAGGAGG
rnacentral:rRNA from 1 species